UGUGGGGCGUGGUGCGGAGACGUUUGCAUUCGACGCUACGAUGGGCGGGGGUACAGAGACAGACUGUACUAGCGACGCUUCGAGUAUAUGUAUAUAUCCUUAUGAGGAGAUGCACGGUGCAGAGUGUAGCUAUGUACUAUAAUCGCAUGAGUUGUAACGGCUAGUCCUCUAGCCGAAUAUUGAUUGUUCUGUGUGGUGUAAUAGGCACCGUGUUUGUUUCAUGCUAGAGCUAGGCCUACAUUUUAGUAGUGCUAUGAACUCAGUCUGUGGUUUGCGGUUUAGCAUCCCAUACCUCGCUG
rnacentral:lncRNA from 1 species